CGCGGGGUGGAGCAGCUCGGUAGCUCGUCGGGCUCAUAACCCGAAGGUCGUCGGUUCAAAUCCGGCCCCCCGCAACCA
rnacentral:tRNA from 1 species